rnacentral:rRNA from 1 species
UACGAAGGGGGCUAGCGUUGCUCGGAAUCACUGGGCGUAAAGCGCACGUAGGCGGAUUGUUAAGUCAGGGGUGAAAUCCUGGAGCUCAACUCCAGAACUGCCUUUGAUACUGGCGAUCUUGAGUCCGGGAGAGGUGAGUGGAACUCCGAGUGUAGAGGUGAAAUUCGUAGAUAUUCGCAAGAACACCAGUGGCGAAGGCGGCUCACUGGCCCGAUACUGACGCUGAGGCACGAAAGCGUGGGGAGCAAACAGG